GAUGAAGCUGUGAAAUUGGCCAUUUGAAAUUGAGAGGGUGAGAGAACGUGAAGAGACUUUGAGUGAAGACGACGAGUGAGUCUGUGAAGGAAUGAAUGAAUGGAGGGGAAUUGGAGGGGAAUGUGAACAAGGAAAGGAACCCUAGAAAAGUGUAGAGAGAGAGAGAGAGAGAGAGAGAGAGAGAGAGAGAGAGCGAGUGGUCAAAGAGAAGAAAAGAAUUAUGGAGAGAAAAGUAAAAGGAAGAAUAUGAAAAGAGCGCAGGAAAAUCAUCCGAAUCAGACGCUUUUGUUUUGAAUGGAAUCAAUCUUCCUCCCCCAACCCCACUCCUCACUCUCCCCCUUUGCUUUUCCUUUUCAAUUUCUUCUUUUAUUUUCUUUUUCUUUUUCUUUUUCUUUCAUUUUUUUAUUUAUUUAUUUUCACAAAUUAUGUGGCUCGCAAUCUAUCGUGAAGUGCCAUGUAAUAUUAAAAUUGUUUUCCUGAUUAUUUGACAUAUUUUUUAUUAUUUUUUUAUUUAUUUAUUUAUUUUAAUUUCCUCUUAUUUAAAUUCUUUCCGUAAUUAACAGAUUUUGUUACCUUUGUUUUCUAAUCAAGUGAGCAGGUUAAUUAUUGCGCUAAAUAUUUUAUAAAUGGCAUCAUCUAUAUUUUCAAAAAAUAAUAAUAUUAGUGAUCUUAAUAGUUAAGUCUCAACCUGAAUACUAACUAUUAUAACUUUUAAUCAUUUAUUAUGUAAUAGAUAAAUAACAUAUAAUAAUUGAGAAUAACAGUUAAGAUUAUAAUCAUUAAUAUUACUUACAAUCUACCCUUAAUUUUAUACAUAUCAUGAAACUUGUUAAUAAUAAUAAUUAUUAUUAUUAGGUUAUGACAUUGGUGGCAUUAUAUAUUUCUUUGUUGUGGGAAAUUGUAUUAAAAGCAAUAAUAAAAGUGUCUUAUAGCUUUUCACGCUAGGUCAGACCAACAAUUACUUUAAAGUCAUUAACGAACUCAAAUUCUAGAAUCCAAUAAUUAAUUAAUCAACUAUCUUCCACAUCAAACCGAGAACGCACUCUUGGUUUUGAAGGCUCAUCAUGCUUUAACUUGAUUCAAAAUACAAAAUCAUUUCAUUUUUCGGUUACGUCGAAAGUCAUCAACAAAUACAUAAAGUUCGAGAAAAUGAGAAGGCAUGAACUUUUGGCCAAAAAAGAAAGCAGAAAUUAGAGAAAGAUGACAGUUCAUUUGUGGCCCACCAAGGACCGUUUAAAAUAUAGAUUUUACUUAACGAGUUGUUUAAUAAUAAUAAUUUCUUUUUGAAAAUCAAUUCGUUUUAUAAUUACAACAGUGAUAUAAGUAUAAAAAAAAGUACAAAAAAUAAUACAUUAAUAUUACAAAAUAUUUUACUGGUAUAUUUUGUAUUAUUUUCAAUACAUAUAACAUUAAAUUUUUUUUAUUUUAUUAAUACAAUAGCUAUGCCUACUAGUCGAAGGAAACUGAAUUUUUUUUUUUAUUUCCCACAAAAUCUUAUAUUGGAAGUCAAACACGGUUAUUUUUUAAAAUCAAUUUGUUUAUUCUUUUAAACUUGACCGUCCAAAUUGUAUGCCACCAUGUAUAAGGAACCAGCAGACCGGCGACGCUGACGAUAGAAAUUAAAAAAGAUGCGAGAUUGAAAAAUUAAUCAAAAGUAAAAACAAAAAAAAGUCUUUGGAUCCUGUCUCGAUGACGAUAAGGAGCCUGCACGCAUUGACAACUUACACUAGCUGACGAUCCUGUCUCCGUCCUCUAAUAGUCUUUGAUCCCAUUCGCACGAUCCAAAAUUUCAAAUUCCGGAAUCCGGAGAAAUGGCUUUCGCUCUUUCUCUUGUACAGGUUUCGAGGUUGCCGGAGUCAAAUAUGGGCCGGGCCUUGACCUGUCAACUUAAUGUUUGGGCUAGUUUAUGCAAUUGAACCCAAGGCCCAAACGCAUUGCGAAUGCAGACCGCAACUUCCCCGUUUACAAUCAGAACCUCAAUCCAAACUUUAACAACUAUGAUCGGCACUUAUGCUGUGUUUACUUGUUGGAGUGGGAGUGAGGAGUGUGGAUUCUUCCCACUCCAGCGUUUACUUCCUCUAAAUGAGAAGGGAGUGGGAAUUUCAUUCCGUGGAUCCCACUCAUUUUUGGAGUGGAGAGUGGGAGUGGGACUCCCAUUAGGGGAGGUGGGAGUGGGAAUCCACUCCCACCUCUCCCUUUUUUACCCUUUUUAUUUUUUUAAUUUAAUAUUUUAUAAUUAAUAAAAUAAAAUAAAUAUUAUUAUAUUUAUUUGAAUAAUAAUAUUAUAUUUAACUAAAUAAUAAUUUACAUUGAUUCUAAAUUAAAAUUAUUUUAAAAUAAUAUUAUUAUAUUAAUAGAGAAUUAAUAAAUAUAAUAUUAUUAUAUUUAUUUUAAAAAUAAUAGUACUAUAUUUAUUUAAUAUUAAUAAUAAUAAAUAGUUUAUUUUAAGAAAAUAUUAAUUUUAUACUAAAUAAUAUUAUAUUAUUAUUUUAUAUAAUAAUAAAUUUAAUAUAAUUAUAUAAAAUAAAAUAAGGUUUCAUUUUGUAUUAAAAUUAAUAAUUUAUUAUUCAUAAUUAAGAAUAUUAAUAAUUAUAAUAAAUUUACAAAUAUAAUAAAAUAAAUAUUAUUCAUUAAAUAUAUUUUUUAUUAGUUUUGUAAUUAAAAAUUAUAAUUCUUUAAAUAAGGAUAAAAUUAUAAUUUGAAAUAAUUUACUCCCAAUCCAAAACAAAGUAAACACAUAAAUUAGAUUCUGAUCUCUAUUUCAUGCUUCCAUUCUAAUAUAAGUAAAUAACCUACUCCCACUCCCACUCCACACUCCCAAUCCUAGAAUUCCCACUCCUGUGAGAGAGAAGAAAAAGAACAUAGCAAAAAUGGCUGCCACUGCCAUUUCAGCUACUCAUCCGAUUCUUGUUACAAGAGUUAAUUACAAAUUAUCUUCUCCAAAUUCAAUCGACUUUACAAACCGAGCUUUCUUACCUGUAUCAAUUUCUUGGAAACCUUUACGAGCGGUUCUCAGCUCUUCGGCAGUCUCCACUGAAGAACUCGCUGCCGGAGCCGGAAACAACUCCUUGACUCUGCGUGAAUUAUGCCAAGGUCAUGUGCCCGAGCACGUGCUUCGCAGGUGAGUCUCCGAAACGACCCACUCGUUUUAAUUAAUCAAGAUCUUAUUCCUAAACUUAGCAGUCAAGCUAGUUAGCUAGUAUUUUUUUUUAAUUUAAAAAAAUAUCGAAACGUUCGCAGAAUGGAAGAGACUGGAUAUGUUUUACCGACGGAUAUACAGCGCGAAGCGCUGCCUGUUCUGUUCUCGAGCCGGGAUUGCAUACUUCAUGACAAAAAUUAGGUGAAUUCGCAUUUGUUGGCAGCAUUAAAGAAGCAGUUGCAGCAGAACUAGAAUCAACCACUUGGGAAGCAUCAAGUGCAGGGUAUCUCUGCAUCUCUCUUCUGCGAAAAUAGCGAGCAGCAGCUAGAUGCUGCAUAAUACGUGCUUCCAUAUCAUCGUAAUCAAAGUAAGUACCAUCCUGAAAUAUCCCAUCUCGCAUCUUAGAAGUAUAAUAAUAAACUCUAUCUCGCCAAACAAAUUUUUUUUCAAAAUAAAAAGUCGACAACUUAAUUUGAAACCAAACUAAAUAAUCACCGGCCCAUUAUCAAAAUCUUCAGGGAAAGUAACAGGAGCAGCAGGAGCUAUGGGCCUUGACUUGGAAAGCCUUUCACUCUCGAUGGCAGCUAGAAGCUCUUGGCUACAGUAUAGAAAGACGAACUAAAAUCAAAGGGAGACUAUGUUCCUUCAUCAUUCGACGCUGGACAAAUAAAGACAUCUGAAUGCGGUGAAGUAAAGCUAUUAAAAAGAACGUCAUGUACCAGGCUGGUUCUUUCAGGACAAAUUGCUGCCAACAUAUUGGACACUCUUUGCUUCUCUGUGACCUAAAUGAGAGACGGAUUCAACUAGAGUUAUUCAAUUUAUCAGGUUAUAGAGUAUCACAGUGGAAUACAACCAAAACAUAAUUACAAGAGCUUACCAUUCAAGAAUACACUGAAGAUGAUAUUCAUGCUUGCAGCUGGUAACCUGAAACAAGCAGAAUUGCAUUAAAGGUUAUUGCUUCUUAAAACCUUGAGUUCUAUUUGGAUUAACCAAUUACUUCAAAUCCUCAAGUAACAGUCUCAUGAUUGAAUGAACCAAAUAAUUCCAGAAAAAUGAAAACGCAAAUCAAACGACAGAGGUCAUAACAAUUCAUAUCAAUCCCACGGUAUGUUCGAGCGGGCAAAAAUAAAAAAUGAUUUCAAAGAAUCAGCGAAUGGAGACCAAAUAAAUAGUUUUUCAGAUAGAAAUGCUUAUCCAACAGUUAAGUACGGCGACGUUUUAACCGCAUGUUUUAAGAAAAGCGGUGAUGAGAGUGCAAACAUCGAAAGAAAGAAAAGCAAGAGAUUUUUUCAUACAGUGGCGGGGUCGUCAGUGGAGAAAGGCUCGAGGCAGAUACUGCAGGCGUCUUCGAGGGAAUCAUCGAGGGCGGCUGCGGAAGACGACGAUGAUCCGGCGGAGGAUGAAGCUGUGAAAUUGGCCAUUUGAAAUUGAGAGGGUGAGAGAACGUGAAGAGACUUUGAGUGAAGACGACGAGUGAGUCUGUGAAGGAAUGAAUGAAUGGAGGGGAAUUGGAGGGGAAUGUGAACAAGGAAAGGAACCCUAGAAAAGUGUAGAGAGAGAGAGAGAGAGAGAGAGAGAGAGAGAGAGAGAGCGAGUGGUCAAAGAGAAGAAAAGAAUUAUGGAGAGAAAAGUAAAAGGAAGAAUAUGAAAAGAGCGCAGGAAAAUCAUCCGAAUCAGACGCUUUUGUUUUGAAUGGAAUCAAUCUUCCUCCCCCAACCCCACUCCUCACUCUCCCCCUUUGCUUUUCCUUUUCAAUUUCUUCUUUUAUUUUCUUUUUCUUUUUCUUU
rnacentral:lncRNA from 1 species